rnacentral:lncRNA from 1 species
GUUCUUGAUUGUUUUUUUUUUUAAAAAGUAAGAAAGAAAGGCUUUAACAAAAGUGUUUUGUUCUGCAGAUAUUUCCUUCUGCAGUACUGGUGGCCACGACCUUGAGAGAGGUCCUUGGAGGCACGUGGUGGGCACCCAGCCUCUAUCUGGACACCAUGGGAGUCUUUGGCAGUCCUUCCCAUCCAGUCCCCUGCCUUGACGUACAACCCACAGCAAAGGUCCCAGAGUAGGUGGCCCGCUCCUAAACAUCUCAAGGAAGACUUCCCGCCGUCCCGCGGAGCCCGCCACCCACACCCGGGUUGCACAAGGUCCCUUGCGUGGUUACUGAAAGCUCUUUCUAAUUUUAACAAAGCUCCUAAAACCCGUUCUCAUCUGCGGAAUUCGCCUUUUGUGAGAACGGGAGCAGGGCUUUGAUUCUAAUUAGCAAACCACAAAUCCCGUCCGCAGCCUCCCUUGCAGGGUGAGUCUAACAGCACGAGGUCCCUC